ensembl:lncRNA novel transcript
GCACAACGUGCCCCGAGUGGAGGAACCGGGUGGCCCGCAGGAGCUGGUAGAAGAUGGAGCGCACGUGGACGUCCUGCAGCAGGCCGCCCUUCCGGAUGACUGCGUUCAGGGUACAUGGUGAGGGAGCAAGCCACUGUGGGCCAGCUGCAGAGGGACACGCAGGGGGACACGCAGAGGGACCCGCAGACGGCGUCAGGACAGAACAGAGGUGGGGCUGGGGCGCUGGCCGGGGCCUCACUCACCCAUAAACUCAAACACCAGGUAAAUGUCCCUGUCGUUCUCUGCCCGGAUCACGUCAA